AUAAGAUUCACUUUGGGGAGUGAAAUAUUUUCAUGUUAGACUAACUCCUGCCAUGUUUCUUUAUGCCUGUUUAGAAAAUGCUAAUUGACAGAAACUGUUCUCUUAUAAUUUAUCAACAAUUACAAUUGUUGAUAAAUUCAAAGCUGAUGUUUUUGUCAUGAAUUUGUUGCUCUACGUUCUACAUUCAGCUGCUUUAUCUUCAGAGUCUAAUAACAACCUGUUCCCAAUUAUUGGGAUACAUAAAAUAGUUUAAUGAUAUUUAGUGUUUUCAAGUAUUAAAUUAUUUUCAUGGGGUGCUAGUUCCAUUGACACACCCAUCCUGAAAAAUCAAGAAUACAUCCAUUACGUCAUUACGUGUAUUAAUAGUUUGAUACGCACAGUUUCUCUACUCGUAUAUCUACAGCUAGUUGCUCUAUAGCCUCAAGCUCUAAACACAAUUCGGUGCGAGUCUAGUCGCGUCGACGCCUACCUUGUCAGUUGUUCGUUACAAGAUGAUUGUUGAUUGAUGUCUAUUUUUGAACAUUUUAUAGCGGCAAUCCUGAACUGACUGUUAGUCUACAAGCUGUACUCCUCACUGUUGUACUUCCAAUUAAUUCAAAUUGACAAUACUUGAGUAUAAUUACAAGAUGAUUGAUGUCUCUC